CCUACGGGAGGCAGCAGUGAGGAAUAUUGGUCAAUGGGCUUACGCCUGAACCAGCCAAGUCACGUGAGGGAAGACUGCCCUAUGGGUUGUAAACCUCUUUUGUCAGGGAGCAACGCCGGCUACGUGUAGCCGGACUGAGAGUACCUGAAGAAAAAGCAUCGGCUAACUCCGUGCCAGCAGCCGCGGUACUCCGGAGGAUGCGAGCGUUAUCCGGAUUUACUGGGUGUAAAGGGCGUGUAGGCGGGACUGCAAGUCAGAUGUGAAAACCACGGGCUCAACCUGUGGCCUGCAUUUGAAACUGUAGUUCUUGAGUACUGGAGAGGCAGACGGAAUUCCGAGUGUAGCGGUGAAAUGCGUAGAUAUUAGGAGGAACACCAGUGGCGAAGGCGGUCUGCUGGACAGCAACUGACGCUGAGGCGCGAAAGCGUGGGGAGCAAACAGGAUUAGAUACCCGAGUAGUC
rnacentral:rRNA from 1 species